GGAAUCGUACCCGAAACCGACACAGGUGGUCAGGUCGAGUAGACCAAGGCGCUUGAGAGAACUCUGCUGAAGGAACUAGGCAAAAUGGUACCGUAACUUCGGGAGAAGGUACGCUGUUGUUGGUGAUGGAACUCGCUUCCUGAGCUGACGACAGCCGCAGAAACCAGGCCGCUGCAACUGUUUAUUAAAAACAUAGCACUCUGCAAACACGAAAGUGGACGUAUAGGGUGUGAUGCCUGCCCGGUGCUGGAAGGUUAAUUGAUGGGGUUAGCGUAAGCGAAGCUCUUGAUCGAAGCCCCAGUAAACGGCGGCCGUAACUAUAACGGUCCUAAGGUAGCGAAAUUCCUUGUCGGGUAAGUUCCGACCUGCACGAAUGGCAUAAUGAUGGCGGCGCUGUCUCCAGCAGAGGCUCAGUGAAAUCGAAAUCGCUGUGAAGAUGCAGUGUACCCGCGGCUAGACGGAAAGACCCCGUGAACCUUUACUGCAGCUUGACACUGAACUUUGACCUUACUUGUGUAGGAUAGGUGGGAGGCUUUGAAGCUGGAACGCUAGUUCCAGUGGAGCCGUCCUUGAAAUACCACCCUGGUAAUGUUGAGGUUCUAACUCUGUCCCGUGAUCCGGGACGAGGACCGUGUCUGGUGGGUAGUUUGACUGGGGCGGUCUCCUCCUAAAGAGUAACGGAGGAGUACGAAGGUGCGCUCAGCGUGGUCGGAAAUCACGCGUAGAGUAUAAAGGCAAAAGCGCGCUUAACUGCGAGACCCACAAGUCGAGCAGGUACGAAAGUAGGUCUUAGUGAUCCGGUGGUUCUGUAUGGAAGGGCCAUCGCUCAACGGAUAAAAGGUACUCUGGGGAUAACAGGCUGAUACCGCCCAAGAGUUCAUAUCGACGGCGGUGUUUGGCACCUCGAUGUCGGCUCAUCUCAUCCUGGGGCUGAAGCAGGUCCCAAGGGUAUGGCUGUUCGCCAUUUAAAGAGGUACGCGAGCUGGGUUUAGAACGUCGUGAGACAGUUCGGUCCCUAUCUACCGUGGGCGCUGGAAAUUUGAGAGGAUCUGCUCCUAGUACGAGAGGACCAGAGUGGACGAACCUCUGGUGUACCGGUUGUGACGCCAGUCGCAUCGCCGGGUAGCUAUGUUCGGAAGGGAUAACCGCUGAAAGCAUCUAAGCGGGAAGCCUACCUCAAGAUAAGAUUUCCCUAGGACUUUAUGUCCUCUAAAGAGCCGUUCGAGACUAGGACGUUGAUAGGUUGGAUGUGGAAGCAUAGUGAUAUGUGAAGCUGACCAAUACUAAUUGCUCGUGAGGCUUGACUA
rnacentral:rRNA from 1 species